GAUGAACGCUAGCUACAGGCUUAACACAUGCAAGUCGAGGGGCAGCAUGAAGGAAGCUUGCUUUCUUUGAUGGCGACCGGCGCACGGGUGAGUAACGCGUAUCCAACCUUCCCCAUAGUAGAGAAUAGCCCGGCGAAAGUCGGAUUAAUGCUCUAUGUUGUAUUUUGAUGCCAUCAGAAGAAUACCAAAGGUUCACCGCUAUGGGAUGGGGAUGCGUCCGAUUAGGCAGUCGGCGGGGUAACGGCCCACCGAGCCGACGAUCGGUAGGGGUUCUGAGAGGAAGGUCCCCCACAUUGGAACUGAGACACGGUCCAAAACUCC
rnacentral:rRNA from 1 species